UCGCUUUGGCAGCACAUUUACUAAAGUUGGAAUGAUACAGAUAAUAUUAGCAUGCGUCCUGUGCAAGGAUGACAUGCAAAUUCAUGAAGCAGUCCGUAUUUUU